CCUUGGAUAACUGUAGAAUAUUUAUCCAAUUUCAAUUCGGUGAUUUUGUCUAUCAAAGCCUUAUCCACAGUUUUAUCAAUAUAUGUCUUUAUUGCCUUAUUUAGAUUUUUGGUAUCCAAUUUAGCAACCAGUGGAACAUCGUCGUUACUGAUAAGUGGCAUAUCAACAGCCGUUUCUGUAUUUUCAGGUAUGAUUGAUCCAUAUCCAAGUCCAAUCAAAAAUAUUAAUGACAGCAUUAUCGAUGUAAUAUCUAUACCAAAUCGUUAGAAUGCACUAAAUGAAAUUCAAAACAUAUCUAGUACUAUUUAUCGAGGAAUGUUCCUUCGCAAAACAUUUUCCGAGAAUGGUAUUUAUGCAUUGAAAAAGAUGUUUUUAUAAAGAGACGCGUAUGUUGUAUGCACUCUUCCACAGAACAGGUUGGG
rnacentral:lncRNA from 1 species